rnacentral:rRNA from 1 species
GAUGAACGCUGGCGGCGUGCCUAAUACAUGCAAGUCGAGCGAACAGACGAGGAGCUUGCUCCUCUGACGUUAGCGGCGGACGGGUGAGUAACACGUGGAUAACCUACCUAUAAGACUGGGAUAACUUCGGGAAACCGGAGCUAAUACCGGAUAAUAUAUUGAACCGCAUGGUUCAAUAGUGAAAGACGGUUUUGCUGUCACUUAUAGAUGGAUCCGCGCCACAUUAGCUAGUUGGUAAGGUAACGGCUUACCAAGGCAACGAUGCGUAGCCGACCUGAGAGCGUGAUCAGCCGCACUGGAACUGAGAGACGUGCCAGACUCCUACGGGAGGCAGCAGUAGGGAAUCUUCCGCAAUAGGCGAAAGCCUGACGGAGCAACGCCGCGUGAGUGAUGAAGGUCUUCGGAUCGUAAAACUCUGUUAUUAGGGAAGAACAAAUGUGUAAGUAACUAUGCACGUCUUGACGGUACCUAAUCAGAAAGCCACGGCUAACUACGUG